GGCUGUUGAUGAUGAUCAAGAAUAUAUAUACUUUAUGGGCUUGGAAAUGUCUGCUUCUAUGCGUAACACAUUUCACGUCAAAAUUAUAAUACCCCAAAUUUGAGCAACAAAAUUCAAGCAACAGGACAUAUUUUUUUAAAUUCGUCCUGUGUAUUAUUGAUGCUGAAUAUGAAAAAAGGUCGCGAAUUCGCUCUCCUUUUCAGCAGCCGACGUAGCAACUACGUGACCGCGCUCAAAAGAUCAUGGACUUUUGACAUGGAAGAUAUUGAUAUGCAGGGCUUUUGGCUUGGACUCUUUCGCUAAAUGAAGGACUUUCAAGGCAGGACAUGUUUGACUGGGAUGAUGAAUCAAAUAUUUCCGGAAUUUCGACCAAAUUGUUGCCUACAAUAAAUCGAACAAUAAUUCUUUAAAUGAAAAAAUUAAACCUAAGUGUCCGAGCUGUAAGCAACAAGUCGAAGAGGCAAUACGUAAUGUUUUUAUUUACACUUAAAAAAAUGUAAAACCAACAUCUAGUAUUGGCAAACAUCCAAUAAAUUAUGGAUUAAAUAAAGAUAAAAUGAAAAA